rnacentral:rRNA from 1 species
UAUCUCUGUAGAGUCUGCAUAUCAAUAAGCGGAGGAAAAGAAACUAACAAGGAUUCCCUUAGUAACGGCGAGUGAAGCGGGAAGAGCUCAAAUUUGAAAUCUUCAAGGUUCUACCUUGACGAAUUGUAGUUUAAAGAAGUGUUUUCUGUUAGAUGAGUAGCAAAAGUUCCUUGGAAUGGGACAUCAUAGAGGGUGAGAAUCCCGUAUUUGGUUAUUCAUUCUAGCUUUGUGAUACACUUUCAAAGAGUCGGAUUGUUUGGGAAUGCAGUCCAAAAUGGGUGGUAAAUUUCAUCUAAAGCUAAAUAUUGGCGAUGAGACCGAUAGCGAACAAGUACCGUGAGGGAAAGAUGAAAAGAACUUUGAAAAGAGAGUUAAACAGUACGUGAAAUUGUCAAAAGGGAAGCGUUUAGACACCAGUGUUGUUUUUCCGAAAAUCAAUUACGAAUGGCUUGAUUUUGUGUUGUAUUGACCUUAUCAGCUUUCUGCACUUUUUUCGAGUCUUUCUUAAUGCACUUUUUGGUUAACAAGUCAACAUCAAUUUCUUUUGUUGUAAAAGAGUAUUCGGAAGGUGGCUUUCUUUUCGGAGAAAGUGUUUAUAGCCCUAUACUUCUACAAUCGGAGAGAUUGAGGUCUGCAGCGUAGAUCCUUCGGGGUUAGAUACACUUGUGCUAAGUUGUAGCUUUUCAUAGACAACUUGUUGACUAUGUUUAGUCAUGCGGCUUACUCGCUUGUGCUAUUUUACCUACGCUUAGGAUGUUGACUGAUAUGUAGUCGUA